CACUCUCCACACCCCAGCAGCCAGCGCUCUAACCACACCCGGCUGCCACAGAAUGAAAAUCAGAAAUUGCUUUUGAAUUGUGGUUCAACAGAAUCAUUUAAAAAACUAAAUAAUGAAACUGGCCUGGACAAAAAUGAUGGUAUUUUUGGGUCACUAUCCUGUUGGGGGACCCAUGACCUGUGACUAAGACCAUCCUUUCUGACACUGGGCAGCACAUCUCGCUCCAGAAUGCCUUGAUAGUCUUGAGAUUUCAUGAUAUCCUGCACAGAUUCAACACCCCCUGUGCGAGAGACAGCAAUGCAGCCCCAGAACAUAACUGAGCCUCCUCCAUGUUUCACAGUAGGGUGUCUAUCAUCUACUGGCCGGAGACAACAGCUGGAAAUGAGCCAUGUUGGCUAAAAAUGCAGUUAAUUCAUGGGGACUGUCCACGAAACCAUAAAAC